AUGAAGGGUCAUGUUAAUGGUUUGAAGAAACUAAUUAUGGAAGAUUCUCCUUCUGCUUAUUAUGUUCACUCCUUCGCCCAUUAGCUUCAACUAACCCUUGUAGCUGUUGCUAAGGAGAAUAUUGAUUGCAAAUGGUUCUUUGGACACCUUUCAUAUUUGUUGAAUGUUCUUGGGAUGUCAUGUAAAAAGAUCUGCAUGCUUUGUGUCGCUCAGUUUGAGUAUAUGAUUGAAGCAUUGAAACUAGGUGAAAUUGAAGUUGGCCAAGGUUUGAACCAAGAGAUGGGACUAGCAAGGCCAGGUGAUACGCGAUGGGGUUCCCACUAUAAAACGGUAAUGCAUGUUAUGUCUAUGUAUCCUUCAAUCAGGAAAGUUCUCUUUAAGCUUGGGAAAGAAAGUAAUAGUGUAGAGGCUUUAGGAGCUCAGACAAUGUUGGAAGUAUUUAAAUCAUUUGAGUUUGUUUUCAUGUUGCACUUGAUGAAUGAGAUAUUUGGAUACACAAAUGACUUAAGCAAUGCUUUGCAAAAGAGAGAUCAAGAUAUUGUGAAUGCAAUUGAUCUUCUUGAGUUCACAAAGGUACAACUGCAAGUUCUGAGAGAAGAUGCUAGAUGGAGAGAAUUCCUUGAGAAUGUCACUUCUUUUUGUGUGAAGCACAAUGUCAGAUGUGUUGAUAUGGAUGGGAAGUACAGGCCUAUACAAAGAGCAAGAUCAUUCUAUAAAAAUGCCAUGAAUUACCACAGGUUUCAUGUUGAUAUGUUCUUGGGUGUCAUUGAUAGGCAACUUCAGGAGCUUAAUAACAGGUUUGAUGAGGUAAACACACAGCUACUUAGAUGCAUGGCAUCAUUCAGUCUAGCCAAGUCAUUUUCUUCUUUUAAUAUUGAUGACUUGGUUAAGCUUGCUGGGUUCUAUCCUCAUGAUUUUGACUUUGAAGAAAUGCACCAACUUCCUUUUCAACUGAAUCUCUAUAUUAGUGAUGUGAAGAAUGAUGAAAACUUCACAAACUUGAGAAUCUAG
rnacentral:rRNA from 1 species